CCUACGGGCGGCUGCAGUGGGGAAUAUUGCACAAUGGGCGCAAGCCUGAUGCAGCCAUGCCGCGUGUGUGAAGAAGGCCUUCGGGUUGUAAAGCACUUUCAGCGGGGAGAAAGGCGGUGAGGUUAAUAACCUCAUCGAUUGACGUUACCCGCAGAAGAAGCACCGGCUAACUCCGUGCCAGCAGCCGCGGUAAUACGGAGGGUGCAAGCGUUAAUCGGAAUUACUGGGCGUAAAGCGCACGCAGGCGGUCUGUCAAGUCGGAUGUGAAAUCCCCGGGCUCAACCUGGGAACUGCAUUCGAAACUGGCAGGCUAGAGUCUUGUAGAGGGGGGUAGAAUUCCAGGUGUAGCGGUGAGAUGCGUAGAGAUCUGGAGGAAUACCGGUGGCGAAGGCGGCCCCCUGGACAAAGACUGACGCUCAGGUGCGAAAGCGUGGGGAGCAAACAGGAUUAGAUACCCUUGUAGUC
rnacentral:rRNA from 1 species